rnacentral:piRNA from 1 species
UUUUGAAUUCAACUCUUGUUGCUUGCACAC